GACGGAUCGCAUGGCCUCUGUGC
rnacentral:siRNA from 1 species